UUGAGCUUGAGCAAAACCGCUAAAUCAAUAAAUCCUAGAAAAUGAGUCAUAUCACGGAGAUUCGGAACGUUCGAAAAAUUAUACUUAUUUUGACCAACGACAUCUGUCUUGUUCAGAGCUGGAAGGAAUUUUGUGAUCUACUAGAAAUCCAACCGACCGAUGUUCUAGAAUUGACCAACAGCUUCAAGUCCACUGCGAUGACGUAUUAUGACCUCUUCAGCAAAAUUUUGCAUCUCUGGGCGUCAAGAAAAGGAGAAAAGGCGACUGUGCAAAUGCUGAUAGAAAUAUUGAAAAUUGGAAACUUUGUGUCUGUUUCUGAACAACUUGACAGACUUGUGAAUGAAGAUACUUUGACAAGACAAGAAACCACUAGAAAAUUCCACAUGCGUCAUUUUGGAGUUAAAAAAUGCAUUAGUAAUUUUGUUGGAAGAAAAUCCGAACUUAAGACCUUAACAGGAUUCGUAGAAAGCGAUGACUUUCUUCUAACGGUAACAGGCAUGAGUGGCGUCGGAAAAUCAACACUUGUCUUGAAGUUUGUCAACGAUUUAUUAACCGCCACUGAGACUGAUGACGCGCAAGUCAGGGUCAUUUGGUUCCAAUGUGAUGACAAAUCAACCCUAAAGAAAGCCAUUCAAAAACUUGCAGAAAAUAUCAGAAUCCCAAAAUUUCCAUCACAUGACAAACUUUUGCAAAAAUGUAUUAAAUCCAUCCAAUACGGGAGUACUGCCAAAACACUUUUUGUCUUUGACAAUGUCGAUCAUAUCCAUUCGAAUUUGAUUCGGAUUUUGCAAUUCUUACAUUCCAUUUCGUCAACUUCACCGUCAGAUGUGAAGGCUGUCCCUAUCCUGUCAAUCGUGACGUCAACACUGCUACCAAUGACGAAAUAUGCUGGGACAUCCGUUGCCCUUGAUCUGCUCGAUGAACAGGAAGCGACCCAGUUUCUCAAAAGCAAUUUACCCAUGGAAUUAAUGGAAGAUCCUUUGGACCUCCAAGAUUUGGCCGCUUUAGUGCAAUACCUUCCACGGAAAUUACAACAAGCCGUUGACUACAUUAAGCAAAAAAAUUUGAGUGGAAUCAAAUCAUAUGGAAUAAAGGAUUACAUUCGUGACUUGGAAGGUGGGUCCGCAAAAAAAAGACAGAAAUUACUGGACCAUCCGCUAUCCCCGAUUGAACGGAGUGAGAGCGAUCGAACGACGACAUUUAAGUCUUGGAGGCAAAGCAUUAGACUCCUUUAUAGUCUAGGGAUGGAGGGGCAAUGGGCUGUUAAAUUGCACAAACUUUUGUCACACCUAGAUUCAGAACGAACUUCAAUGCCAGCUUUAAAGAAAAUUAUCAACUGUGCAACAUUUUUUUUGAUACAAGAACCCAAAAAAGUCAAGUUGACUCCAAAUGCGGACGAUCGGCUCGAUAAGGCCCUCAAACUUCUAAGGGAUCAUCACUUAAUACGUAUUGAUGUCACCAAACAAAUUCUAUCCGUACAUCGGAUGGUGAGGGAAGUGACGCGGAUCCAAAUUAGUCUCAAACCAUCCGAGAAGUUAUACCAAGUUUUAAGAAACAUUUUAUCCGAAGUUUUGGAGCACGUUAUGUUCAAUCACUUGAAGAAUGAUGAAAAUAACAACUAUGCUUGGGAUGAUGAGGUAGGCCUCAUUUUAGCUGACGUUUGGAAACAGGCCCUCCACUUCCCUGAUCUUGUGGAGAAAUAUGCGCUCAUCGGUGUCCAUUGCACAGCACAGACCAGUUGUUCCAUUCAGCUUUUUUCCACAACCAUUGAAGAAAUGACAUUAAUAUUCCCAGAAACUAAUCUACUCCUUCUGAGAGCAAAAAUUAAUUACUUUUCCAGAGUUUUCAGCAGUAAUGAUGAGUCUGACACAGUGCAAGAUUUCUCACUUUUGCAAUCCUUAGUAGCACAUGCGGCCGUCUUCUUGGGGGGAAUGCAUUCUGAAGUCGUAAGAGGUCGAUCGUUGCUUGAAGAAGCAGCGAGAUCCAGCUCACGGCUUUCACAAUAUAUACAGAUCGCAGAAGAGUCAUUAUUAGCAGAAGAUUCAAUAUCCUGGCCUCAUUUCAUCGAUUGCAAUAAAAUAACUAAAUUGCUGAACCUUGGCAAUGCAUACGAACUUAUGCAGAAAUACGAUAUUGCAAUUGACUACUACUUGACGGCCUACGUUUGGACCAAGGUAAGGGAGGAUGCACUUAACGAAGAUGUGACAAAAAUUUCUGAAAGGAUACGACAUUGCUGUGAUCAAUUAGGGAUAUGUGUUGCAAAAUAUUUCAACUUUGAUGACACCCCGAGUUGGGACGAGCUAAGUUGUCUUCAAGACCGUUUUGUAGAGACACAAAAUCAAACGUGUGGCAUUUCUGAAGUAGAAGAGCCCCCUCUUAGCGAACCAGAUGAGGUCAGAAGAGUUAGGUCGGGACACAUUUGCCACAGAUUUACGAAAAAUCUGAAGCAUUUUGACGCUUCGAAGAUUCGUCAAAUUAUUCAAGCCAUGAAAUUGGAUAUGCUGCCGCAUCGUUAAGAAAUACAGAGCAUGGGCCAUCCUUCUAGAGAAAUUUUCAACAAUUUUUCUAACCUACAUAUGAAUUUUUCUUGCAUAAUUAACUUGCUCCAAGUGAUGCCCCUUGUUCUGAACUACAAGCCUGCAACGCUUGUUCCUUCAUGAAAACACUUCAUGACACUUUUGAAGGCUUAUUUUAACGUCUUGUCCUUGAAACUUUUCCAAAGUCCAUCUAGCAUCGUAGCUAAUUUCUUUCUUUUCUCCACGACGCACAGCAAAUUGACCUUCUCCCGUUACAGUCAUAUACCUUGAACAAAGCUUCGUCGAUUGUGAUCGCAGAUUCGUCCUUAAUUCCAACAAGGUGUUUCUCAUACAGCUUUUUCUGGAAAAAAGUGACAAUUAGCGAUGUGACGCUGGUUCAACGCAUGCAGUUUUGUUUUCUUCUGUUUGAUUUUGUCCAAAUCUCAUCUAGUGACUUAUUGAAUACUAGUGUGAUUCGAUUUUAGUCGUUUCACCAUAUUGAAAAAGCUCUUUGGGAUUUCCUGGUUGAUCAAACGGUUGAGUUUUGUUUGUAGCCUUUGGUCCGUUCUGCAAGGGGGCAGUUUUUAGAGGGAGGAGGCAGUCCCUGAUUAAUGGCUUGUCUUCUAACACCUUGUACAUUUACUAUUCUAUAAAUUGAGGCCAAAGAAAUUUCAUGUCCACGUGCAUUAGCCCUUUUUUAUCACACUUUCGGUCAAAUUCUGGCUGGAAAACUAUUUUACUAGUACCUCCACUUGAAAUGGUCAGGGGCGAUCCAUUUUUCAGAAUUUCGAGUAGAAAAAAAUCAGUGCCUUACCUAAUUGGUUUGUCUACCAAACAGUUUAUACCGGGUUUGCAUAAGUUGUGCCAGUUUUUUCGCGCGAGCGUUUGAAAAUUUCUCUAGAAGGAUGGCCCAUCCUCUGUAUAAUCCAUCACUUGUAGGCUACAAGUUGUAGUUUUGAAAAACGUGAAAAAGGCAAUCGAAUAUAAUCAACGCCCUUAAUGUUUUCAAUACUUAUAGUAUAGUUAUUCCAAUUUAGGCAUGAUAUGUAAUGGGGUGUAGUCAAAAUAAGUUAGAAUUGCCAAAUAGAAUUUUAUAAGAUGUUUGGACGAUCUUUUCAGUUUUUUUGUAUUGUUGUAGAUAUUUAAAAUCAAGUUAUUUAAUGACCACUUUGUAUUUGCAGCAAUAAU